rnacentral:rRNA from 1 species
AUUGAACGCUGGCGGCAGGCCUAACACAUGCAAGUCGAACGAGGGGCGGACGGGUGAGUCAUGUCUGGGAAACUGCCUGAUGGAGGGGGAUAACAACUGGAAACGGUAGCUAAUACCGCAUACCAUCAGAUGUGCCCAGAUGGGAUUAGCUUGUUGGGUGGGUAACGGCUCACCAGGGCGACGAUCCCUAGCUGGUCUGGACGGAUGACCAGCAACACUGGAACUGAGACACGGUCCAGACUCUGACGGGAGGCAUCAGUGGGGAAUAUUGCACAAUGGCGGCAAGCCUGAUGCAGCCAUGCCGCGUGUAUGAAGAAGGCCUUCGGGUUGUAAAGUCCUUUCAGCGGGGAGGCGUUACCCGCAGAAGAAGCACCGGCUAACUCCGUGCCAGCAGCCGCGGUAAUAC